ACUGACACCGGCUUAAAAUAUAUAUAUGUAUAAAUAAAGCUAAAUAGCCUCUAGACAGCCAGUCCCUAGAGUCUUUGUGUAACUAUUACUAGAUUUACUCUGGGAAGGAUGUUGAGUUUGGUAGUACCAGAAAUCUUGAGCAGUGACUUCUCAGGGAAUGUAUUCCCUUAUUAGGACCCCAUACUGUGUCUCCAAAGCCCAAGAAAUUCAAACACCCUCACAGGCUGCUCCAAGGUGCUCAUUUCCUUAUCUUCCUUCAGUGCUUGGAGCUGCUUCGUCUGACUCAGCAAUAAAUAGCAGAUAUUCAGAUAACACUGCAUAUUCAUAUAUUUGGUAUGGAAGUCAUGUUUUCUGAUUGGAAAGGGGACAACAAGUAAAUCCUCCCAGCGCACCCAGAUUGCAUCUUGCAUUUAAAAUCAUUAAAAUCUGAAUUAUACAGAGGCUAUGCAGUACUAGGGAUCUUCCAGGGAAAAUGUAUUUUUGAGUACUCCAGACAAUUGAAACUAGUGAGCCCACUGUCUGGGGAAAGCAUCUGUAACCGCAGCCAAAAGAGGAACAAGAUUUCCGACGUUGUUUCAAGACAUGCGUUUGAAGCAUGGGUUCCCAUCACUUUCAGAGUCUGACUGUGGAAGCGCUGCUCAUGAGGUCUGGAAAAAGACUUCUGGAUCAUUCCUGCCUCCAACUUCCUCUCCUUGUCUGCAGGCAAGGGGUUAUCACAGGCCAGCUGACAGAGUGGAAAGCAGAGCAGUAAGAAUGGGAGUAAACCAAGAUUUUAUACUGAAUUUUGUACUGGUGUGGAUGAAGAGCAACCGCCAAUUCUGAUAGACUAUUGUGCAUGUAUAGACAGACAUAGCCCAGAGUUGUGGCAGCCAUUAAUAGAUCAGGCAAGCCCUUGCAGCUGUGUUUUGAUCAGCAGAAAGGUUUUUGGCAUCCAAGAGCUGAAAUCCCCUUUUGGGUAUGACAAGUGCAUCGAAGUACCUAGCAAGUUAAAAUCAAGGGUUUCUGUGAGGAGGGAGUAAGAACACCUACCACAAAAAAUUAAGGAAAACCACUUUGGGCAUUCCCCAGGUAUUAAGAUGUAAUAGACAAGUUAAAGCUCCAACUGCUAAUUGCCAGGUCCAGUUGUACAUGUUAAUCAGGCUUCUGAGGAAACACAAAAGAUUUUCUCAGUACGAAUGUUUCCUGAGCUUUCUGCUGUCGACUGUCAUUACAGGCCAUUUCUGGAAGAGCUUCUGCUAGGACUGGUAUGGAUUGGGAGCGAGGUAUCUUUCCUAUCUGAUUCCUGGACUGCUGAAGAACAGCUACACCGACGCCCUCACACAGGCGUACUUCCUCACAUUCAUCUUAGGUCAUCACACCUCACUGGAGGCUUCCCUGCUUUAAUGAGCAGCUCAGAAACCACGGAGAGAACUGGAGAAUGGAAGUUGUUGGACAUUGUUGUGUUUGAAAACAGCUCCAUAGCAUUCAUAAGAGGAUUCUUGGCACCUGCCUAGUUAAACUGGAUGUCCAAUGUUAUCUCUCC